ACGGAGGGUGCAAGCGUUAUCCGGAAUCAUUGGGUUUAAAGGGUCCGCAGGCGGGCGUAUAAGUCAGUGGUGAAAUCCUGCAGCUUAACUGCAGAACUGCCAUUGAUACUGUACGUCUUGAAUUCGGUCGAAGUGGGCGGAAUGUGUAGUGUAGCGGUGAAAUGCAUAGAUAUUACACAGAACACCGAUAGCGAAGGCAGCUCACUAGGCCUGGAUCGACGCUCAGGGACGAAAGCGUGGGGAUCAAACAGGAUUAGAUACCCUGGUAGUCCACGCUGUAAACGAUGAUUACUCGUUUUCGGCGAUAUACUGUCGGAGACUAAGCGAAAGUGAUAAGUAAUCCACCUGGGGAGUACGAUCGCAAGGUUG
rnacentral:rRNA from 1 species